GAUGAACGCUGGCGGCGUGCCUAAUACAUGCAAGUCGAGCGAACAGACGAGGAGCUUGCUCCUCUGACGUUAGCGGCGGACGGGUGAGUAACACGUGGAUAACCUACCUAUAAGACUGGGAUAACUUCGGGAAACCGGAGCUAAUACCGGAUAAUAUAUUGAACCGCAUGGUUCAAUAGUGAAAGACGGUUUUGCUGUCACUUAUAGAUGGCUCCGCGCCGCAUUAGCUAGUUGGUAAGGUAACGGCUUACCAAGGCGACGAUGCGUAGCCGACCUGAGAGGGUGAUCGGCCACACUGGAACUGAGACACGGUCCAGACUCCUACGGGAGGCAGCAGUAGGGAAUCUUCCGCAAUGGGCGAAAGCCUGACGGAGCAACGCCGCGUGAGUGAUGAAGGUCUUCGGAUCGGAAAACUCUGUUAUUAGGGAAGAACAAAUGUGUAAGUAACUAUGCACGUCUUGACGGUACCUAAUCAGAAAGCCACGGCUAACUACGUG
rnacentral:rRNA from 1 species